UUUUGUUUUCUCAGUGCUCGUUUGGCACUGGCACGAUACAGAGAAGAUUAGCAUGGCCCUGCACAAGUGAUUUUUUCUUUACCUGGAACAUACACCAUUUCU